GUCCCUGUAGCGCAAUGGAUAGCGCGUCGGACUUCUAAUCCAAAGAUCGUGAGUUCGAAUCUUACCUGGGAUG
rnacentral:tRNA from 1 species